CACUCUUUCUGUACCUCUCUCAACACGGCGGCUUACUCGCACUCAAACUCCGAAUAACCAUUGAAUAUUAAUACAAUUACAUUUGUAACGACAUACCCGCUGUCCCGGUUCAUUCCUCCCCUUUUCCUCCGGCCGCACCGGUGUCCAAUAAUCCACCGCGACUCCGUUUGAAGUUAAAAGAGAGAGGGGUAAAGUCUGGCUAAAAGAUGUGUAAACACGGAGCCAGAAAAAUAAAUUUCACCAACACCAGUCAGUGUGUGUACGUGUAUGUAUGUGUGUGUGUGCGUGUUGGUGGGGGUAAGGGGGGGUUCUGUUACAGAACAAGGGCGCGAGCUAGAAAUCAACCAGACCAGCACGAGGCUCCGCGAGACACAGCCAUUUUACCGAGCUAUCGCGAGAAAACGAAAAUCUGGAGCGGAGCAGGAGCGAAAACUGGAUCUGGAUUGUGCUCUCUUCCACAAAACGAUGUUUACAACAAAGCACUCAAAUGCUGCAACACUGGUUUUUCAUGAGCCUCUGGAGGAACACGUGAAGGCAGCAUCACCGCUUGCAAAAGCAGCAGAACUUUGCUAUGUGGAUGUGGGGGAUGGGAGGUCUGCUCUGUCCUCUCCCAAUACAGAGCUUUCUGCCCAUACUUCUCACUGUCAGGGGCAAAUGCUCAUCUUUUCUAUAGUGAGAUUUGUUGAAAGAUGAAGUAAAAACAUCUAAAUGUAUUUUAAAGCUGCAAACACAGCUGUAUGUUUAGUGAAGGAGAGAAUGCAGGGUGGAGGGGGUCAGCGCAGCUGCUGUCUGCUUAUAUAGGCUAGGGAGGAGUGUGUGUUAGCAGAUAUAAAGACAGGAGGGGGUAGGGAGCUUCUUUUCCUUUUUAGCAUAAACUUGCUGUUUAUUAUCAGUGGGUGCAGUCUCCGUCGCUCUCUCUGUCUUUGGGUUUUGAAAAAUGAGCAGCAAAAUCAACUCUUUGCUUUCUGUUUCCCAGUUUUUUUUUAAAUAAAACUCUUCUAUUUUCUGCACUCACCUUGAACAAAAUAUUAUUUUCAGUUGUCUGCAUAGCUUUCUUUAGCUGCAAGGUGACUUAAAAGUGUCACAUUCAUGUGCUAAAUCUCUGUGGGAGAGAGACAGCAUGAUACUAAAGACCUCCUGUGUGAUGGAGUGUCGUGUAUUUAUGUAUUGUUGUUUUACAAGGAUAAUGUGUGUUUCAGACCACAAGUCUUCCUGUCCGGAAUUUCUCAGCAGGAGCAUGAAGACUUAUUCUGAUGUGUUGAUGCUGCUCCUGAUGUUAUUUUCUUUCCAAACAUACACGGAUGUAGAAUGACUUUAUGAAAAAACAUUUCUUUCCUGUAAUAGUCACAUUUGUUCACUCUUCUCGCAUAAUGUUGUAGUUUUCAGCUAUAUAUGUGGGUUUUGACUUAAUUAAUUUACAGGUGUGGCCAGGUGGUUUAGCUUGGACCACUGAUUGUGUGUUUUGAGAAGUGGAGGAAGGCACGAGGGAGUCAUGUGACAGCCCUACCUCCCCCUAUGCCCCUAUCUGUCCCAGGAUGAUGAUUUAAGAGUGUUUACAUGUGGCUCGCCACCGCCUCCCUGAGAGAACGGCUGUGAUGCAUCACCUUCAGCUCUGGUGCCACAGCUUCCAGGGCCAUCACCACGGCAGCCGCUGGGACUCCAUCCAGCUGCCCCCUUUUAGUGUGAGGCAUUGAUCAGAAGAAGGCAAAAUGACAAUGAGAGACCAUCAUUUGUUUUCAAAUCUAGACUAAAAAACUAAAGAAAAACUUGCAGAAUUGUGGCAAUAUUCUUCGACCCUUUGAUAUUCUCUAUCGUAAUUACUCGGCUAAAUCAAUCACAAUUUUGCCUGGAACAUAAUGUCACUCUUGCUCAGCUAAUUUGUGACUUAUCUUUCAGGAUUUUAAUUUUAAUCCCUUUGGGAUCCAGUCUGGGAAUGAAGCCACCCGAUCGCCCAGACAACCCAGCAAUGCGGCGUGGAAUUCCCUAACAAGAGAGAGUUGAAUCUCGACGCACAUGCAUGGUGCACACCCACGUGUGAAACAGCUAGACACAACCCGUACCUGAUAAUGACACACACAGCAAGAAUUUAUGACUGACAAGAGUCUGUUAUUGGCUUGUGCCAAACAGGAACUGUAGCUGUCCUCUCUUUCUCUUCACACACACACACACACACACACACACACACACACACACACACACACACACACACACACACACACACACACACACACACAAAGUGGUUGGGUUCUGUCCAGAUGGUUGCCAGGCAGCAGUUCAACGCAUAAUCUGGAGUGUGUAGAGGAAGGAAAUGCCACUUUGUGAAGUGCAAUGAGCAUCCAGCUAGUUCCUAGACACUUUGAGCAAGUGUGAGGAAACCUGCUGUUUAAACACACACCCACAACUUUGUGAACAGUUUUAGGGAUUAUAGAGCAUUUCCUUAAAGGUGCGAUGAGUAAGAAUUUUACAGUGAAAUAGUUACAAAACAGUCAAAAGAUUCUAU
ensembl:lncRNA